rnacentral:rRNA from 1 species
CCUACGGGCGGCAGCAGUGAGGAAUAUUGGUCAAUGGCCGUAAGGCUGAACCAGCCAAGUAGCGUGAGGGAAGACUGCCCUAUGGGUUGUAAACCUCUUUUAUGCGGGGAUAAAGGUGUCCACGUGUGGAUGUUUGCAGGUACCGCAUGAAUAAGGACCGGCUAAUUCCGUGCCAGCAGCCGCGGUAAUACGGAGGGUCCGUGCGUUAUCCGGAUUUAUUGGGUUUAAAGGGAGCGUAGGCCGGUCUUUAAGCGUGCCGUGAAAUUUUGUGGCUCAACCAUGAGAGUGCGGCGCGAACUGGAGACCUUGAGGGCGCGGAAGGCAGGCGGAAUGCGUGGGGGAGCGGUGAA